CGGGAACUUGGUCCCGUUUUUGUUAUUCGUGUUGUGGUCUUUCUCUCAUGGUUUUAUCAAUUCUUUUUGCGGGGAACUGCUCACAUUGAUGUUACAUUAUUUGGGAACUAGCUUGGACUCGGCAUGACAACGGGACCUUUAAAAGACAAUCCAGUCUGCUAACUACAUUUUAUUCUGGUUCACAGUCUAAUGAACCAAAUAGUUUUGCACGACUUUAUAUAGCAGACUGGACUUAAUUUGACACGUAUAACUGUUACACAAAAC
rnacentral:lncRNA from 1 species